AAUUUCAAAUGGAGCAGUUCUUGGAACGGAGCUUCAAGACCAUGAUGCGAAGAGGAAGAAAUGAAAACAGCAUCAGUUCCUGAAAUGGGAGGCGCCCGGCCCCGUUAAGAGACACAGAGAAGAUCGAACUAACAUCUACUGAACCUUAAAAGAAAGAUUGUUUUUCAAAAUCCAAAUUGUCUUCCAAAACCAACAUUGCCAUAAAGAAGCAGACGAGGUAACCGAGGCCCAGAGAAGUGAAG